GUUUAUAUUACUCCACAAGGGCUACCAAACAUGUUGAUAAGGGGUUUUAAAAGAAAAAAAUGACCUAAUACAUCAGGCUUUUAUUUUCAUUAUUAUUAUCAUUGUUACAAAAAUAAUUAAAUGUAACACAAUAAUUAACCUAUUAUAUUCGCAAAGGCGUCCGAAAACAAAAUGAAUGGAUGGAUUAUAGCGUAAAGACAUAGAGAACAUAGGUGCAAUGUGUGGAAGUUUCAAAAGACACCACAUUUUUAAAAAACUAGUGUCUACCAGCAAUAAAAGUUAGUGGCAGUAAUCAGUUGUGCUGUUCUCAUACAGCCACUAGAUGGCGAUGCAGUGUAAUUCCAGUUGAUGGAGUAGUUGCAUUGCUGUAAGAUCGUGCCAGAUGUACUGAAGUGCAGCACAGCUCGUACACGGCUCCGGCACUGCUUCAGCUGUUAGCAGGCUGGGUUGGUGUAAUCUCACAGAGGGCUGCUGUGAUGUUCUGGCCUCAGUCCUGCGUUCUCCUCACUCAGAGCUGAGAGAUCUGGAGCUCAGAGACAACGAGCUGCAGGAUUCAGGAGUGAGAGCGCUGUCUGCUGGACUGGAGGACCCACACUGUAAACUGCAGAGAAUGGGGCUGUCAGGCUGUAGAGUCACACAGAGAGGCUGUGAUUCUCUGGCUUCAGCUCUGUGUUCAAACCCGUCACACCUGAGAGAGCUGGACCUGAGAUACAAUCACCCAGGAGACUCAGGAGUGAGAGCGCUGUCUGCUGCUAAACUGGACACACUCACACUGCUUGUGGACCAUGGAGGAGAGAACAGGACCAAACCAGGACCCAGGAAAUACGGCUGUCAGUUCACACUGGAUCCAAACACAGCACACAGAGAGCUGUCUCUGUCUGAGGGGAACAGGAGGGUGACACACAAUAUGGGGAGAAAGGAGCCAUAUCCUGAUCAUCCAGAGAGAUUUGAGUCUGUGCUCCAGGUUGUGUGCAAAGAGAGUGUGUGUGAGCGCUGUUACUGGGAGGCUGAGUUCAGUGUGCCUGAGUGGAUGGGAUGGGUUUAUAUAGCAGUGACAUAUAAAGGAAUCAGCAGGAAAGGAGAGGGUUCUGACCGUGAGUUUGGAUUCAAUAAAAACUCCUGGAGUCUGGAGUGCAUUAAACCCAGUCACUCUAAUAAACUCAGUUACUCUGUCAGGCACAA